rnacentral:rRNA from 1 species
CCUUAGAUGCCCUGGGCUGCACGCGCGUUACACUGACGAUUGCAACGAGUGAUUUGUCCUUGCCCGAUGGGGCUGGGUAAGCUUUGAAAAGAUCGUCGUGAUGGGGAUUGAACCUUGCAAUUAUUGUUCAUGAACGAGGAAUUCCUAGUAAGCGCAGUUCAUCAAACUGCGCUGAUUACGUCCCUGCCCUUUGUACACACCGCCCGUCGCUCCUACCGAUUGAAUGGUCCGGUGAGAACUCAGGACGGCAGUACUUUAGUUUAUCCGCAAGGGUAAGCGGGUACAGUCGGAAUUUGUUCAAACCUUACCAUUUAGAGGAAGGAGAAGUCGUAACAAGGUU